AAAAGGACAUUGAUAUGUAGUGAAAUGUUUUGCUGCUUUCCCUGACAGUCAGUCUGAAGCUUUUGCCCAUGCCAUUCAAGAAAUCUCGAUAAAAAUGACAGAAGCGAAUAUCAGAUGAAAAGUUCUGGGUUACACAUAAAAGAAGUGGACAUUGUUCUCUGGAAAGCACUAUUCCAUAGUGAAAGAUCCACAAAAGAUUUAUGAAGCAGAAAGGCACUUCACAUUCUGCACUCCAGAGCUACUUAAAAGGUGUAAUCCUUCAUAUCUGGUGAUUGUGAUUGUCAUGGGAAGAAUUUGACUUGGGGGCCUCAUCAUCUUUGAAUAUGGGGAAUGCCUGCAAUGUACUGGUAUCCCAUCCACGGGGCGUUCCAGCCUUGUACCCCGUGCUGCCUUGAUCCAGUCCCCCCCCCAACCCUGAUCAGGAUAAACAUUUGGAAGAUGGAUGGAAAAUGGGCACAUCAUGAGGGAACAGUACAGUACUAACACUAUAACAUACACCUGUUCCUGCAAAAUAGCCUCAUAUUCCUUGACCAUUAUACAACAACGGAGAGUCAUCAUUGGAUGUAAUGAAUCCCAUGAGAUAUCUGACCAUACCAUUAUAGAUAUUUAACAGUCUAAAUCAAACUUUGUGGAUUGGAAGCAUUCACUUUCUUUCUCCAAAGCCAAACAUGUCCAAGUGUGGGAAAAUGGCUGAAAGAUGCCUCAUUAGACCAGAUCGCCCGUGUGCUCCUCAAACUGAGGAUGAAAUGCAUCUUCUGCCAUCGGCCUUGGAUCCAUGUGGUUUCCCAGAGGCUGCACUAUUAUGAAUCCCAGCAAUGUGAAGCUUGUGAUGUACAGUUUUUGCUGAGGUGCUGAUUCAGUUGUAUGGUCAUUUUUGAGGCCAGACCUUUUGUGUUGUUUAGCAACUAUACAUCUAUCCCUGUACAUCUAUCCCCCUGAAUCAGCUUUGACUAGGAUCAUUUUUCCCUAGUGCCUGUGUAGUUUGUGUUUCAGAUAUGUUGUCAUUUUUUUGACACUAGUCCACUUUAUACAAAUAAUUUUGCAGUUUUGUGACCAAUGCAAUGUUAUAGCCUUGUGUACCUGCUAUUUUGUCCACUCCUUGUAUAUUGAAUCUGUAAUUUAUCAACAGGGAUGGCAGGACGAGGUACAGCUCAGCAGGCUACAGGUCAAUGCUUGUACCUGGAAGCUCAUGGAUUUGAAUCCUGCAGCUGGUAGAGUAAUCAAAUAUUGUAAUCAGAUUGUAAUCAAAUGACUUUUGUUCAUACAGUUAAGUCCAUGCCAAGAAGCACAGAGUGCAGCAAUGCACCCCCAUAAUAAUAAUAAUAAUAAUAAUAAUAA